rnacentral:rRNA from 1 species
CGAAAGCGUGGGGAGCAAACAGGAUUAGAUACCCUGGUAGUCCACGCCGUAAACGAUGAGUGCUAAGUGUUAGGGGGUUUCCGCCCCUUAGUGCUGCAGCUAACGCAUUAAGCACUCCGCCUGGGGAGUACGACCGCAAGGUUGAAACUCAAAGGAAUUGACGGGGGCCCGCACAAGUGGUGGAGCAUGUGGUUUAAUUCGAAGCAACGCGAAGAACCUUACCAGGUCUUGACAUCCUUUGACCACUCUGGAGACAGAGCUUUCCCUUCGGGGACAAAGUGACAGGUGGUGCAUGGUUGUCGUCAGCUCGUGUCGUGAGAUGUUGGGUUAAGUCCCGCAACGAGCGCAACCCUUGAUUUUAGUUGCCAGCAUUUAGUUGGGCACUCUAAAGUGACUGCCGGUGCAAGCCGGAGGAAGGUGGGGAUGACGUCAAAUCAUCAUGCCCCUUAUGACCUGGGCUACACACGUGCUACAAUGGAUAAUACAAAGGGUUGCCAAACCGCGAGGUCGAGCUAAUCCCAUAAAAUUAUUCUCAGUUCGGAUUGUAGGCUGCAACUCGCCUACAUGAAGCCGGAAUCACUAGUAAUCGUGGAUCAGCAUGCCACGGUGAAUACGUUCCCGGGCCUUGUACACACCGCCCGUCACACCACGAGAGUUUGUAACACCCGAAGUCGGUAGGGUAACCUUUAUGGAGCCAGCCGCCGAAGGUGGGACAGAUAAUUGGGGUGAAGUCGUAACAAGGUAGCCGUAUCGGAAGGUGCGGCUGGAUCACCUCCUUUCUAAGGAA